rnacentral:tRNA from 1 species
GCCGGCUUGGGCGGGUGGCGGGCCUGGCUGGCCUCGUGUGCAAGCGAUCCGGUUUGAACGUUCAAACCGGCCAGCGGCCC